rnacentral:lncRNA from 1 species
UUUACUUUAAUUUUUCCACCACAUCGACACUUGCUCCAACGCGCCAUUGCGGCAGCGCCCGUAGCGCGUCUCAGCCAAGGAGUGUCAGGUGAUCAGUGAGC